UUCUGAAACUAAUGAAGUUUAAUAACCUGUUUCAUUCUUUCUCAUCUAGGCCAGCUCGGGGAAGAGAGGGAGCAUGGCUCUUCCUACCUGUUGACAUGUCCCUGCCUGGAAAGUCCACCUGCAAACAUGUAAGAGGACAGUGGUAUUCACAUAUUUUUGCCUGCAAGACCAUGCUGGGUGACUGAAAGCAUGUGUGGAAUCUGGAACAUUUAUGGUGCAAACAUCAUUUCAGCAUUCUCCUACGCAAGAGAUGAUGAAACUUCCAAAGAUGAGAGCCUAUGUAAAUAUGUGUUAUCCAUCAGCUAGGCAAACAGAUGAUGGACUGCUGUUUUUAGAAGCUCCAGAUGAUGGCCAUGAUCCUGUAAUGUGAUUAUUGUGAGUAGAGACAUACAACUGCAAUCCAAUUCUUGCUCUGCAGAUCCAUUGAAUAUAAAAAAGAAUAUUCAGACUAUAAAAAGGACUACCCUCCAUAAAUUCGUGUCAUCUUCUCUCUUCUUAUUAAUGCUUAAUUUAAAUCUUGACAUCUAACUCUUCUUCAGCAUUCACGAUUAAAGAAAUUAAUUUAAGUUUCUUCUGAAAGCAUAACAGCAAAUGGGCAUCAAUGCAGGUAUCCAUUUAUUCCUUCAGC
rnacentral:lncRNA from 1 species